UCUGUUUUAUUUGAUCCUCACUACAACUUUGAAAAGAAGACAGAGAACAUAUUACCAUCCCAAUUUUGCAGAUGAGCAAACUUAAGAUCCAAAGAAAUGGAUCACAACAAACUAUUGGAACCUUGGAGAUUCCAGUCACUUUUUCUGAGGGCUCUUAGACAGUUAACCAAAACUGUGUGGAAAAACAGGAAUUACAGAGAGGUUAAUGACUGUAUCUGAAAGCACACAGCACGCCCUCAUCGGAAAGAGCUGAAAAUACA